GUUAGUAUCUCACCUGAAGCCCACAGGUGCCACCUAUUGUCCCUUCUACAAAGAUCAGAAAACAGAGGUCAAACAAGUGAAACAUUUUGGUCAGAUUUUUACAGGAAACAUAUGGGUAAUGUUCUGCUGUCCGGGAAAGACCCUGAGGUCAUAUAUCUAUAUCCAAAUGUGGCAUAUACUUGUGUCAACAGUUCACCUAUGCCAGAACAAAGUAACCACAGUGUGUCCAGUUUUGCCAACUCCCUAGUCAUAAUGACUUAAGCAAGUAUUGGAGUGAGUGAAACUGAGAUUAAUGACCUCAAGAAACACAGAAAUCCACCCCCAGUUGCACACAUCUUGUUGCUGUUCCUGUUCCAGGGACCCAGCUGACGGCUGAAGCUGGACUUUCUGUGACCUUAUACAUCACACUCGAAGUAGGAAAUAAAUUUCCUGUGUGAUAGGCACCGUCCCUGUACCAGGAGGGAAGGACACAUUUUUAU